rnacentral:rRNA from 1 species
UACGUAGGGGGCAAGCGUUAUCCGGAAUUACUGGGUGUAAAGGGAGAGUAGGCGGCAAGGUAAGCGAUAUGUGAAAGCCUUAGGCUUAACCUGAGGAUUGCAUAACGAACUAUCUAGCUAGAGUACAGGAGAGGGAAGCGGAAUUCCUAGUGUAGCGGUGAAAUGCGUAGAUAUUAGGAAGAACACCAGUGGCGAAGGCGGCUUUCUGGACUGAAACUGACGCUGAGGCUCGAAAGCGUGGGGAGCGAACAGG